rnacentral:rRNA from 1 species
GGGAGGUAGUGACAAUAAAUAACAAUACGGGGCUCAUUUGGGUCUCGUAAUUGAAAUGAAUACAAUUUAAAUCUCUUAACGAGGAACAAUUGGAGGGCAAGUCUGGUGCCAGCAGCUGCGAUAAUUCCAGCUCUAAUAGUGUAUAUUAAAGUUGUUGCAGUUAAAAAGCUCGUAGUUGAACUUCAGGGUUUACCCAUUGAUCAGGCUUAAUUUGGUGUGAUUGGAAAUCAGGACUGUUACUUUGAAAAAAUUAGAGUGUUUAAAGCAGGCUAAUGUCUGAAUACAUUAGCAUGGAAUAAUGAAAUAGGAUGAACUGAUUCUAUUUCGUUGGUUUCUAGGAUCACCGUAAUGAUUAAUAGGGAUAGUUGGG